rnacentral:rRNA from 1 species
AUUGCUAGUAAUGGCAGGUCAGCAUACUGCCGUGAAUACGUUCCCGGGCCUUGUACACACCGCCCGUCACACCAUGAGAGUUGGGAAUACCCGAAGCCUGUGAGCUAACUGUACGGAGGCAGCAGUCGAAGGUAGAAUCAAUGAUUGGGGUGAAGUCGUAACAAGGUAAC